rnacentral:rRNA from 1 species
AUUGAACGCUGGCGGCAGGCCUAACACAUGCAAGUCGAGCGAGCGGCGGACGGGUGAGUAAUGUCUGGGACACUGCCUGAUGGAGGGGGAUAACUACUGGAAACGGUAGCUAAUACCGCAUACCAUCGGAUGUGCCCAGAUGUGAUUAGCUGUUAGGUGGGGUAACGGCUCACCUAGGCGACGAUCCCUAGCUGUUCUGAGAGGAGGACCAGCCAAACUGGAACUGAGACACGGUCCAGACUCCUACGGGAGGCAGCAGUGGGGAAUAUUGCACAAUGGGCGCAAGCCUGAUGCAGCCAUGCCGCGUGUAUGAAGAAGGCCUUGGGGUUGUAAAGUACUUUCAGCGGGGAGGCGUUACCCGCAGAAGAAGCACCGGCUAACUCCGUGCCAGCCGCCGCGGUAAUUC